rnacentral:sRNA from 20 species
UAAAGCCCCCCUACAGGGGGGAUGAGAACCACCGACCGGGGUUCGACAACUGGCGCAGCCAGUUGGACAGACGACGAGCCUGCGAGGAGACUGCCCGAAGGGCGAGCGCAGCGAGUCAAUCCCCCCCUCACCGCCA